AAAUUGAAGAGUUUGAUCAUGGCUCAGAUUGAACGCUGGCGGCAGGCCUAACACAUGCAAGUCGAACGGUAACAGGAAACAGCUUGCUGUUUCGCUGACGAGUGGCGGACGGGUGAGUAAUGUCUGGGAAACUGCCUGAUGGAGGGGGAUAACUACUGGAAACGGUAGCUAAUACCGCAUAACGUCGCAAGACCAAAGAGGGGGACCCUCGGGCCUCUU
rnacentral:rRNA from 1 species